AUGCCAUGGUGUGGGCAUUUCAUUAACAUCUAUUUAAACCUCUCCCACGCAUUAUGAACAACUUUAUCGUCCAUUUGUUUAAAAAAGACAGAUUUCAUUUUUAGACUU